rnacentral:RNase_MRP_RNA from 1 species
UGCUCAGCGAUGACAUUCCACUCUUGCAGCAGGUUGUACUUGCAGACUGUGACGCACGCAUAGCAAUGGCAGC